CAGGAUGCACCGUAGUUUACUACACCGUAUUCUGUGAGUUGCGAACGGGUGAGUAACGCGUAGGUAACCUGCCUGGUAGCGGGGGAUAACUAUUGGAAACGAUAGCUAAUACCGCAUAAGAACAUUUACUGCAUGGUAGAUGUUUAAAAGGUGCAAAUGCAUCACUACCAGAUGGACCUGCGUUGUAUUAGCUAGUAGGUGAGGUAACGGCUCACCUAGGCGACGAUACAUAGCCGACACUGAGAGGGUGAUCGGCCACACUGGGACUGAGACACGGCCCAGACUCCUACGGGAGGCAGCAGUAGGGAAUCUUCGGCAAUGGGGGGAACCCUGACCGAGCAACGCCGCGUGAGUGAAGAAGGUUUUCGGAUCGUAAAGCUCUGUUGUUAAGGAAGAACGAGUGUGAGAAUGGAAAGUUCAUACUGUGACGGUACUUAACCAGAAAGGGACGGCUAACUACGUGCCAGCAGCCGCGGUAAUACGUAGAUCCCGAGCGUGGUCCGGAUUUAUUGGGCGUAAAGCGAGCGCAGGCGGUUAGAUAAGUCUGAAGAUAAAGGCAGCGGCUCAACCAUAGUAGCUUUGGAAACUGUUUAACUUGAGUGCAGAAGGGGAGAGUGGAAUUCCAUGUGUAGCGGUGAAAUGCGUAGAUAUAUGGAGGAACACCGGUGGCGAAAGCGCUCUCUGGUCUGUAACUGACGCUGAGGCUCGAAAGCGUGGGGAGCGAACAGGAUUAGAUACCCUGGUAGUCCACGCCGUAAACGAUGAGUGCUAGGUGUUUGGUCCUUUCCGGGACUUAGUGCCGCAGCUAACGCAUUAAAGCACUCCGCCUGGGGAGUACGACCGCAAGGUUGAAACUCAAAGAGUUGACCGGGGCCCGCACAAGCAGUGGAGCCUGUGGUUUAAUUCGAAGCAACGCGAAGAACCUACCAUGUCUGACUCCCGAUGCCCGGUCUAG
rnacentral:rRNA from 1 species